UACGAAGGGGGCUAGCGUUGCUCGGAAUCACUGGGCGUAAAGCGCACGUAGGCGGCUUUCUAAGUCAGGGGUGAAAUCCUGGAGCUCAACUCCAGAACUGCCUUUGAUACUGGAGAGCUUGAAUCCGGGAGAGGGAUGCGGAAUUCCAGGUGUAGCGGUGAAAUGCGUAGAUAUCUGGAGGAACACCGGUGGCGAAGGCGGCAUCCUGGACCGGUAUUGACGCUGAGGCGCGAAAGCCAGGGGAGCAAACGGG
rnacentral:rRNA from 1 species